AAACAUUUACCGGAUAUCCUGACUGACCGGCCGGCUGAAACCUUUACCGGAUAACCUGACUGGCCGGCCGGCCGAAACCUUAGUAGACAGGACACCCCUCCUGGCUCUCAGGAUCCCUGACUCGCUGUGACCGAUUAUCCCAUGUCUUGUUUGGAUUGACUUGUGGAUCGGACUUAUCGAUGGUGAUUACAUCCAGUUCUGAAGAGGUUCCCCCUCAGAGAAUGCUGUCAGCCUUACAGACGGAAUGGGCCAGUAAGGAUCCGGUGUGUUACCUGCCCCCCUCUCACUGCAGCAAGAAGCCUUCCAGGAGUGGGUAUUAUUAUUAAUACUAUUAUAACAGGCCUGCCAUAGCCCUGGGUGCAUUGUACUGUCACUUCCUACCAAUAGGCCCAGUAACAUGGGAGAUACUGUCACUGCAUUCACUGUGUGGGACUGUGUGUAUGGUGUAUGGCCCAGUAACAUGGGAGAUACUGUCACUGCAUUCACUGUAUGGGACUGUGUGUGUAUGGCCCAGUAACAUGGGAGAUACUGUCACUGCAUUCACUCUAUGGGACUGUGUGUGUAUGGCCCAGUAACAUGGGAGAUACUACCACUGCAUUGUAUGGGACUGUGUGUAUGGCCCAGUAACAUGGGAGAUACUGUCACUGCAUUCACUGUAUGGGACUGUGUGUAUGGCCCAGUAACAUGGGAGAUACUGUCACUGCAUUCACUCUAUGGGACUGUGUGUAUGGCCCAGUAACAUGGGAGAUACUGUCAGUGCAUUCACUGUAUGGGACUGUGUGUAUGGCCCAGUAACAUGGGAGAUACUGUCACUGCAUUCUCUUUAUGAGACUGUUUGUAUGGCCCAGUAACAUGGGAGAUACUGUCACUGCAUUCACUGUAUAGGACUGUGUGUAUGGCCCAGUAACAUGGGAGAUACUGUCACUGCAUUCACUGUAUAGGACUGUGUGUAUGGUGUAUGGCCCCGUAACAUGGGAGAUACUGUCACUGCAUUCACUGUAUAGAUACUGUCACUGCAUUCACUGUAUGGGACUGUGUGUGUAUGGCCCAGUAAAGUAGGAGAUACUGUCACUGCAUUCACUGUAUGGGACUGUGUGUAUGGCCCAGUAACAUGGGAGAUACUGUCACUGCCUUCACUGUAUGGGACUGUGUGUAUGGCCCAGUAACAUGGGAGAUAUGGUCACUGCAUUCACUGUAUGGGACUGUGUGUACGGCCCAGUAACAUGGGAGAUACUGUCACUGCAUUCACUUUAUAGGACUGUGUGUGGCCCAGUAACAUGGGAGAUACUGUCACUGCAUUCACUGUAUAGGACUGUGUAUGGCCCCGUAACAUGUAUAGGACUGUGUGUGGGGCUCAGUAACAUGGGAGAUACUGUCACUGCAUUCACUGUAUGGGACUGUGUGUAUGGCCCAGUAACAUGGGAGAUACUGUCACUGCAUUCACUGUAUGGGACUGUGUAUGGCCCAGUAACAUGGGAGAUAUUGUCACUGCAUUCACUGGAUGGGACUGUGUGUGUAUGGCCCCGUAACAUGGGAGAUACUGUCACUGCAUUAUCUGUAUGGGAUUGUGUGUGUAUGGCCCCGUAACAUGAGAGAUACUGUCACUGCAUUUUCUGUAUGGGACUGUGUGUGUAUUGCCCAGUAACAUGGGAGAUACUGUCACUGCAUUCUCUGUAUAGGACUGUGUGUGGGGCUCAGUAACAUGGGAGAUACUGUCACUGCAUUCACUGUAUGGGACUGUGUGUAUGGCCCAGUAACAUGGGAGAUAUUGUCACUGCAUUCACUGGAUGGGACUGUGUGUAUGGCCCAGUAACAUGGGAGAUAUUUUCACUGCAUUCACUGUGUCUAUGGUGUAUGGCCCAGUAACAUGGGAGAUACUGUCUCUGCAUUCACUGUGUGGGACUGUGUGUAUGGUGUAUGGCCCAGUAACAUGGGAGAUACUGUCACUGCAUUCACUCUAUGGGACUGUGUGUGUAUGGCCCAGUAACAUGGGAGAUACUGUCACUGCAUUCACUUUAUAGGACUGUGUGUAUGGCCCAGUAACAUGGGAGAUACCGUCACUGCAUUCACUGUAUGCGACUGUGUGUGUGUGGCCCAGUAACAUGGGAGAUACUGUCACUGCAUUCUCUGUAUAGGACUGUGUGUGUAUGGCCCAGUAACAUGGGAGUUAUUGUCACUGCAUUCACUGGAUGGGACUGUGUGUAUGGCCCAGUAACAUGGGAGAUAUUUUCACUGCAUUCACUGUGUCUAUGGUGUAUGGCCCAGUAACAUGGGAGAUACUGUCUCUGCAUUCACUGUGUGGGACUGUGUGUAUGGUGUAUGGCCCAGUAACAUGGGAGAUACUGUCACUGCAUUCACUCUAUGGGACUGUGUGUGUAUGGCCCAGUAACAUGGGAGAUACUGUCACUGCAUUCACUGUAUGGGACUGUGUGUGUAUGUGUGUUUUAUGGGAGAUACUGUCACUGCAUUCACUGUAUGGGACUGUGUGUGUAUGGCCAGUAACAUGGGAGAUACUGUCACUGCAUUCACUUUAUAGGACUGUGUAUGGCCCAGUAACAUGGGAGAUACUGUCACUGCAUUCACUGUGUAUGGGACUGUGUGUAUGGCCCAGUAACAUGGGAGAUACCGUCACUGCAUUCACUGUGUAUGGGACUGUGUGUGUGUGGCCCAGUAACAUGGGAGAUACUGUCACUGCAUUCUCUGUAUAGGACUGUGUGUGUAUGGCCCAGUAACAUGGGAGAUACUGUCACUGCAUUCACUGUAUAGGACUGUGUAUGGCCCAGUAACAUGGGAGAUACUGUCACUGCAUUCACUGUGUAUGGGACUGUGUGUAUGGCCCUUUAACAUGGGAGAUAUUGUCACUGCAUUCACUCUAUGGGACUGUGUGUAUGGCCCAGUAACAUGGGAGAUACUGUCACUGCAUUAUCUGUAUGGGAUUGUGUGUGUAUGGCCCCGUAACAUGGGAGAUACUGUCACUGCAUUAUCUGUAUGGCAUUGUGUGUGUAUGGCCCCGUAACAUGGGAGAUACUGUCACUGCAUUUUCUGUAUGGGACUGUGUGUGUAUGGCCCAGUAACAUGGGAGAUACUGUCACUGCAUUCUCUGUAUAGGACUGUGUGUGGGGCUCAGUAACAUGGGAGAUACUGUCACUGCAUUCACUGUGUAUGGGACUGUGUGUAUGGCCCAGUAACAUGGGAGAUACCGUCACUGCAUUCACUGUAUGGGGCUGUGUGUAUGGCCCAGUAACAUGGGAGAUACUGUCACUGCAUUCACUGUAUGGGACUGUGUGUAUGGCCCAGUAACAUGGGAGAUACUGUCACUGCAUUCACUCUAUGGGACUGUGUGUGUAUGGCCCAGUAACAUGGGAGAUACUGUCACUGCAUUCACUCUAUGGGACUGUAACAUGGGAGAUACUACCACUGCAUUGUAUGGGACUGUGUGUGUAUGGCCCAGUAACAUGGGAGAUACUGUCACUGCAUUCACUGUAUGGGACUGUGUGUAUGGCCCAGUAACAUGGGAGAUACUGUCACUGCAUUCACUGUAUGGGACUGUGUGUAUGGCCCAGUAACAUGGGAGAUACUGUCACUGCAUUCACUCUAUGGGACUGUGUGUGUAUGGCCCAGUAACAUGGGAGAUACUACCACUGCAUUGUAUGGGACUGUGUGUAUGGCCCAGUAACAUGGGAGAUACUGUCACUGCAUUCACUGUAUGGGACUGUGUGUAUGGCCCAGUAACAUGGGAGAUACUGUCACUGCAUUCACUGUAUGGGACUGUGUGUAUGGCCCAGUAACAUGGGAGAUACUGUCACUGCAUUCACUGUAUGGGACUGUGUGUAUGGCCCAGUAACAUGGGAGAUACUGUCACUGCAUUCACUCUAUGGGACUGUGUGUGUAUGGCCCAGUAACAUGGGAGAUACUGUCACUGCAUUCACUCUAUGGGACUGUAACAUGGGAGAUACUACCACUGCAUUGUAUGGGACUGUGUGUGUAUGGCCCAGUAACAUGGGAGAUACUGUCACUGCAUUCACUGUAUGGGACUGUGUGUAUGGCCCAGUAACAUGGGAGAUACUGUCACUGCAUUCACUCUAUGGGACUGUGUGUAUGGCCCAGUAACAUGGGAGAUACUGUCACUGCAUUCACUCUAUGGGACUGUGUGUAUGGCCCAGUAACAUGGGAGAUAUUGUCACUGUAUGGGACUGUGUGUAUGGCCCAGUAACAUGGGAGAUAUUGUCACUGCAUUCACUCUAUGGGACUGUGUGUAUGGCCCAGUAACAUGGGAGAUACUGUCACUGCAUUCACUCUAUGGGACUUUGUGUGUAUGGCCCAGUAACAUGGGAGAUACUACCACUGCAUUGUAUGGGACUGUGUGUGUAUGGCCCAGUAACAUGGGAGAUACUGUCACUGCAUUCACUGUAUGGGACUGUGUGUAUGGCCCAGUAACAUGGGAGAUACUGUCACUGCAUUCACUCUAUGGGACUGUGUGUGUAUGGCCCAGUAACAUGGGAGAUACUGUCACUGCAUUCACUGUAUGGGACUGUGUGUAUGGCCCAGUAACAUGGGAGAUACUGUCACUGCAUUCACUCUAUGGGACUGUGUGUGUAUGGCCCAGUAACAUGGGAGAUACUGUCACUGCAUUCACUCUAUGGGACUUUGUGUGUAUGGCCCAGUAACAUGGGAGAUACUACCACUGCAUUGUAUGGGACUGUGUGUGUAUGGCCCAGUAACAUGGGAGAUACUGUCACUGCAUUUACUGUAUGGGACUGUGUGUAUGGCCCAGUAACAUGGGAGAUACUGUCACUGCAUUCACUCUAUGGGACUGUGUGUGUAUGGCCCAGUAACAUGGGAGAUAUUGUCACUGUAUGGGACUGUGUGUCUAUGGCCCAGUAACAUGGGAGAUACUGUCACUGCUUUCACUCUAUGGGACUGUGUGUGUAUGGCCCAGUAACAUGGGAGAUACUGUCACUGCAUUCACUGUAUGGGACUGUGUGUGUAUGGCCCAGUAAGAUGGGAGAUACUGUCCCUGUAUGGGACUGUGUGUAUGGCCCAGUAACAUGGGAGAUACUGUCACUGCAUUCACUGUAUGGGGACUGUGUAUGGAUCAGUAACAUGGAAGAUACUACCACUGCAUUGUAUGGGACUGUAUAUGGCCCAGUAACAUGGGAGAUACUGUCAAUGUAUUAUAUGGAACUGUGUGGUUUAUGGCCCAGUAACAUGGGAGAUACUGUCACUGCAUUCACUGUUUGGGAUUGUGUGCUUCCUAUUGCGGAAUGGGAGAUAUUGUCCCUGUUUGGGAUUGUGUGAUUCCUAUUGCGGAAUGGGAGAUAUUGUCCCUGUUUGGGAUUGUGUGAUUCCUAUUGCGGAAUGGGAGAUAUGGUCCCUGUUUGGGAUUGUGUGAUUCCUAUUGCAGAAUGGGAGAUAUUGUCCCUGUUUGGGAUUGUGUGAUUCCUAUUGCAGAAUGGGAGAUACUGUCACUUCAUUCACUGUUUGGGAUUGUGUGAUUCCUAUUGCGGAAUGGGAGAUACUGUCACUGUGUUCACUGUUUAGGCUUGUGUGCUUCUUAUUGCGGAAUGGGCCAAUAAGCGUAACUUAGACCUGUGUAUGAGAUGGGCUCUGCAGGACUUCUCAUGUUUAGACACAAAGUUAAUAGUGUGGAAGUCAAUGAAAGGGUACUGGAGUUGUAAAAUUGCUGGUUACAUGUUGCAAUGAAUUUGGUUUGCAAGCAGUAGGUAACGUUUGCCAUUUUCAGGUAUCCGGCCUUCGUUACCUGUACAUUACGCUCGGAUCUUUAUGGCCAUUCAGUGUUUAGCAGUAUUCUCCAGUCUCCUGUUACAUGGAGAUUUGGCAGCUUCUUGUUUCAGGGUCAAUAUAGCAGGAGUAAUGUUUUUUUGGGACUUCAAACAAUUAGUUCUCUGUGUAAGGUUACUCUAAGCACUUUGAACCCUCCCAACCAGUUGGUUUUUGGUGAGAGUAACCCUUGAACUAACUAUUUGUUUUGUGGUUUAAGCAAUUAAACUUAUGAUCUGCUAUGUGAUGACUGUUAAAGGCUAAAUGUGUCGGGUGCAAUAAUAUGGAGCGACGUAAAACAUCUAUAAACUGCAGGUGAACAUAUCAUGAAUGGUGGUCUUAAAGGAGCACUCUAACCACUGCAGUGGGUUGUAUUAGGUUUGGUGCUUGGUGUGUUCCUUAAAAAAAAAAAAAAGACUGAAACAUUACAGGCUUGUUUUUGUCAUCCUAUGUAUUUAUUGACCACAGAGAUUUAAAGUGAGCCGGUCAUGGUUUCUCCUUAUGGUUUUUGUUUCCUUCUGUCAAUGUAGCUUAAUGAUUACAAGCUGCCCUUUCCACAUGCCUGUAUUUUAUUUUAUAUCUUCUUCCUUGUGCCAGAUCUCAAUACCUGGGCACAGCCAUGUUGUUACCCUCUGCCCAUUGUGUCUGCUUUUUGCCUUUUUGUGAGAACGACUUUACUGAUUGUGGGUAUAUUUGGCAACAGAAACCUUGCUUUAGAUCCUGCCCAUUGUCAGUUUAUCUGCUAUUCACAUGGCAAAGUAGUCCCAACUUUUAAUGUAUUGUAUGAAAACAGUGCUCAGGAAAAAAGAAUCACACAUGGCUAUUUUCAAGCAUGUUAGAUAUGGUUUGUUUUUGGUGACAGUCAAAGGGAGUGCAUUCAGAGCUGGCAUUGGUUUUAAACCACAAUGCAAAACUGAAAUCAUGGUACUUUACUGCAUACACUUUUAUACAUUGUGCUAGCUUAGUUACUAGAUAUAUAUAUAUAUAUAUAUUUUUUUCUAUAGAACAGGAUUUAAGAAAUAAAAAUUGGUCGUCUUGGUGACUAGUAAUUGUUUCCUGGUGCCUGUGUGUCAGCCUGUUCAGCACUAAAGGCAGCAGCCAUAGGGCAUGUGAAGCCA